GGCGGUGUAGCUCAGCUGGCUAGAGCGUACGGUUCAUACCCGUAAGGUCGGGGGUUCGAUACCCUCCGCCGCUACCA
rnacentral:tRNA from 1 species